UACGAAGGGGGCUAGCGUUGUUCGGAUUUAUUGGGCGUAAAGGGCGCGUAGGCGGUACUUCAAGUCAGGCGUGAAAGCCCUGGGCUCAACCCAGGAAGUGCAUUCGAAACUGGCAGGCUUGAAUAUGGAAGAGGGUCGCGGAAUUCCCGGUGUAGAGGUGAAAUUCGUAGAUAUCGGGAGGAACACCAGUGGCGAAGGCGGCUUACUGGUCCGGUUCUGACGCUGAGGCGCGAAAGCGUGGGGAGCAAAACAGG
rnacentral:rRNA from 1 species